UACGAACCGUACAAACGUUAUCCGGAAUCACUGGGCGUAAAGGGCGCGUAGGCGGCGUCGGUAGUCCGUGGUGAAAGCUCGUGGCUCAACUGCGAGUCGGCCAUGGAUACUCCGAUGCUUGAGCACUGUAGAGGCAGGUGGAAUUCCGGGUGUAGCGGUGGAAUGCGUAGAGAUCCGGAAGAACACCGGUGGCGAAGGCGGCCUGCUGGGCAGUAGCUGACGCUGAGACGCGAAAGCGUGGGUAGCAAACAGG
rnacentral:rRNA from 1 species